UACGAAGGGGGCUAGCGUUGUUCGGAUUUACUGGGCGUAAAGGGCGCAUAGGCGGUGCAAUAAGUCAGGCGUGAAAGCCCCGGGCUCAACCCGGGAAUUGCGCUUGAUACUGUUGCGCUUGAAGACGGGAGAGGAUGGCGGAAUUCCCAGUGUAGAGGUGAAAUUCGUAGAUAUUGGGAAGAACACCGGUGGCGAAGGCGGCCAUCUGGCCCGUAAUUGACGCUGAGGCGCGAAAGCGUGGGGAGCAAACAGG
rnacentral:rRNA from 1 species